UACAGAGGGUGCGAGUGUUGUCCGGAAUCACUGGGCGUAAAGGGCGCGUAGGCGGCUUUGCAAGUCGGGUGUGAAAGCCCUCGGCUCAACCGAGGAAGUGCGCCCGAAACUGCAGAGCUUGAGUACCGGAGAGGAUGGCGGAAUUCCCCAAGUAGAGGUGAAAUUCGUAGAUAUGGGGAGGAACACCGGUGGCGAAGGCGGCGCUCUGGAACAUUUCUGACGCUGAGGCUCGAAAGCGUGGGGAGCAAACAGG
rnacentral:rRNA from 1 species